rnacentral:rRNA from 1 species
UACGUAGGGUGCAAGCGUUAAUCGGAAUUACUGGGCGUAAAGCGUGCGCAGGCGGUUUUGUAAGACUGUCGUGAAAUCCCCGGGCUCAACCUGGGAACUGCAUUUGUGACUGCAUCGCUGGAGUGCGGCAGAGGGGGAUGGAAUUCCGCGUGUAGCAGUGAAAUGCGUAGAUAUGCGGAGGAACACCGAUGGCGAAGGCAAUCCCCUGGGCCUGCACUGACGCUCAUGCACGAAAGCGUGGGGAGCAAACAGG